UACGAGGGGGGCGAGCGUUGUUCGGAAUUAUUGGGCGAAAAGGGUGCGUAGGCGGUUUGGUAAGUCUUAUGUGAAAUCUACAGGCUCAACUUGUAGUCUGCAUGAGAAACUGCCGGGCUUGAGUAUGGGAGAGGUGAGUGGAACUUCCGGUGGAGCGGUGAAAUGUGUUGAUAUCGGAAGGAACGCCGGUGGCGAAAGCGACACACUGGGUCUCAACUGACGCUGAGGCACGAAAGCCAGGGGAGCGAACGGG
rnacentral:rRNA from 1 species